CCCUUAGAUGUUCUGGGCCGCACGCGCGCUACAAUGGUCUUCGCAAACGGAUGCAUUCUCGAAGGAGAAUGCCAAUCUUGGAAUCUAUGCCUUGGUCGGGGCAGUUGCUUGCAAUUUUUCGACUCGAACCAGGAAUUCCUUGUAAUCGUGAUUCAUCACAUCACGAUGAAUACGUCCCUGCCCUUUGUACACACCGCCCGUCGCUCCUACCGAUCGAAGAGUUAGGUGAAUUGUUUUGAUCGAUAAGAUUUGACUAUGGUCAACUCUCGUUGUGAAAUUCUGUGAAUCUGACUGUUUAGAGGAAGGAAAAGUCGUAACA
rnacentral:rRNA from 1 species